rnacentral:lncRNA from 1 species
AAACAGUGAACAGUUACAAACGGAAAACUGUUUUAGAGCUCCGUUGAUCUAAUUUUGUGCAAGGACAACCAUCGUUAUUUUAAAUUACCUUUUGAGGCAAGAUGGGGUAUUGGGUGCGAGGUAUGAUGGGAAAUUGGCGAUAAUACCAUGGUACGUACUUACAAGAAAAAAACAAAAAGAGGAGAUUGGUCGAGAGAUGCUAUGAAAACAGCCACAGAUAAAGUUACAUCGUCAGAACCCUGGGUAGGCUGCCAGAUCUGUGGAUGUUGAGCUCAAAAUGCUUGUGCUGGGGUGGACAAUGAAGAUCUGGAGCAAAUACACAUUUUUGGUUGUUUUGUGAGAAUUAAUUAGCAUCACCAUCAUGCCCCAAUUGCAUUACCCCAUCAUACCCCAUAGUAUGGGGCAAGAUGGUUUUUCAUAAUGUUC